CUGACAGUCCAGAUGGUCGCUCAGGCAGCUUUGGCUGUCUGAGAGGAAAGUCCGAGCUCCAUAGGGCAGGGUGCUCCGUAAUGCGGAGUCUGUUUCCUCUAACCCCUCUCUUUCCCCCCUUAGUAGGGGGGAAUUAAAAGGGGGGUGGGGGGGGGCAGAAGGAAAGUGCCACAGAAAAAAUACCGCAGGCGACCAGAGGUCGCACUUAUAACGGAUAACUUUUAACAUUGUUAAUUGUUAAAGGUUAUAGGUGGAGGCGUAAGCCUCCCUGUAAGGGUGAAAAGGCGAGGUAAGAGCUCACCGCUCCAAUGGCGACAUUGGAGGCAUGGUAAACCCCACCCGGAGCAAGACCAAAUAGGUUCCGCUCCAACCCCCUCCCUGCCCCCCCCUUACAAAGGGGGAGGCAGGGAGGGGGUGGUAAGAAUGGCCCAUUCAAUAUUCUAUUUUAUGCUUAUGAUAGAAAGGCGGAACGGGUUAGGUCGCAGGAUCCUGAUAGCAAUAUUCAGGACAAGAGGAAUGAUCAUCACCCCACACUUGUGGGGGACAGAACUCGGCUUAUGGACUGUCAGGCUU
rnacentral:RNase_P_RNA from 1 species